rnacentral:misc_RNA from 1 species
GAUGAAGAACGUAGCGAAAUGCGAUAAGUAGUGUGAAUUGCAGAAUUCAGUGAACCAUCGAAUCUUUGAACGCACAUUGCGCCCGGCAGUAAUCUGCCGGGCAUGCCUGUCCGAGCGUCAUUUCUCCCCUCGAGCGCAGCUUUCCCCCCCGGGGGAGGGCCGCGCCCGGUGUUGGGGCGCUACGGAGGAGCCCAGCGCUCCCCCGUAGGCCCCGAAAUGUAGUGGCGGUCCCGCCGCGGCGCCCCCUGCGUAGUAGUUUUACAACUCGCAUCGGGUCCCGGCGGAGGCCAGCCGUCAAACCCCCCAACUUCAAUAGUUUGACCUCGGAUCAGGUAGGGUUACCCGCUGAACUUAAGCAUAUCAAUAAGCGGAGGA